rnacentral:rRNA from 1 species
UGGGGAAUUUUGGACAAUGGGCGAAAGCCUGAUCCAGCAAUGCCGCGUGUGUGAAGAAGGCCUUCGGGUUGUAAAGCACUUUUGUCCGGAAAGAAAUCCUUGGCUCUAAUACAGUCGGGGGAUGACGGUACCGGAAGAAUAAGCACCGGCUAACUACGUGCCAGCAGCCGCGGUAAUACGUAGGGUGCAAGCGUUAAUCGGAAUUACUGGGCGUAAAGCGUGCGCAGGCGGUUUGCUAAGACCGAUGUGAAAUCCCCGGGCUCAACCUGGGAACUGCAUUGGUGACUGGCAGGCUAGAGUAUGGCAGAGGGGGGUAGAAUUCCACGUGUAGCAGUGAAAUGCGUAGAGAUGUGGAGGAAUACCGAUGGCGAAGGCAGCCCCCUGGGCCAAUACUGACGCUCAUGCACGAAAGCGUGGGGAGCAAACAGGAUUAGAUACCCUGGUAGUCCACGCCCUAAACGAUGUCAACUAGUUGUUGGGGAUUCAUUUCCUUAGUAACGUAGCUAACGCGUGAAGUUGACCGCCUGGGGAGUACGGUCGCAAGA